ensembl:lncRNA
UUCAUGUCCUCCAACGGUCCCACCUCAAUGACGUCAGUGUUCGCGGUUCACCGCUUGAGUAACUGAAAGAUUUGGGUGCGUUACAUUUGACGAAGAAGUGCAAGAAGAGCGGCUCAAUUUCUACGGUACCGCCUGUUAAUGCUUCAGGGAGCUGAUGAAUCUAAGAUGGAUACUUUUGACGAUGCCACUCUAUCGGUGUUGGAGGCAUUCCCAGCACAUCGACCCCCCUCUGUGCCAAGGAAGCCAAAGACCAAAACCUUCCUGCUGCCAUCCGCAUCAGCCUCAGGCUCCUCACUCAGGACUGUGAUCGCUUCACCAACCACGCCUGCAAAGGAUGAUGUUGUCGGCCAGGACAGUCUGAAAAUGCAGGCUAGGCACUACAAAACCUUGAGCAACAUGUACAAUAAGCCAAAUGCAAAACCCAAUCAAAGUGAUGUUGCUCAAGUUUUAG